rnacentral:rRNA from 1 species
GGGAUGAACGCUAGCGGCAGGCCUAACACAUGCAAGUCGAGCGGUAACAGAUCCUGCUUGCAGGAUGCUGACGAGUGGCGCACGGGUGCGUAACGCGUAUGCAACUUACCCUUAACUGGAGAAUAGCCUUUAGAAAUGAAGAAUAAUACUCCAUAAUAUUUCUCGAUGGCAUCAUCGAGUUCUUAAAGCUUCGGCGGUUAAGGAUGGGCAUGCGUUCUAUUAGUUAGUUGGUGAGGUAACGGCUCACCAAGACUUCGAUAGAUAGGGGGCCUGAGAGGGUUAUCCCCCACACUGGUACUGAGACACGGACCAGACUCCUACGGGAGGCAGCAGUGAGGAAUAUUGCACAAUGGACGAAAGUCUGAUGCAGCCAUGCCGCGUGCAGGAUGAAUGCCCUACGGGUUGUAAACUGCUUUUAUAUAGGAAGAAACCUCUCUACGUGUAGAGGGCUGACGGUACUAUAAGAAUAAGGACCGGCUAACUCCGUGCCAGCAGCCGCGGUAAUACGGAGGGUCCAAGCGUUAUCCGGAUUUAUUGGGUUUAAAGGGUCCGUAGGCGGGAAAAUAAGUCAGUGGUGAAAGCCUGCAGCUCAACUGCAGAACUGCCAUUGAAACUGUUUUUCUUGAAUAUAGAUGAAGUGGGCGGAAUAUAUCAUGUAGCGGUGAAAUGCAUAGAUAUGAUAUAGAACACCAAUUGCGAAGGCAGCUCACUAAACUAUUAUUGACGCUGAGGGACGAAAGUGUGGGGAGCGAACAGGAUUAGAUACCCUGGUAGUCCACACCGUAAACGAUGAUUACUCGGUGCUAGCGAUAUACUGUUAGUGCCUAAGCGAAAGCGAUAAGUAAUCCACCUGGGGAGUACGGUCGCAAGAUUG